ACACACUCAAGGGUAGGUUUUGAAAAUAUUUCAGUCAAGGCCAGAGAAUUUUGUGGAUCACUUCCACCUAAGAUGCUACCAUUCACAAAUACCUUUCUUCAAUUUCCAAAAAUUAAGACUGGAAUCAGAUUAUCAAUGAUGAAAAUGAUCAGGCGAAGGUAAAGAGAUAGGAAAUGACAAACAGCAGGGUAAUAGACUCAAAAGCAUAUUCAUAAAGCAAAGAAAAGCUCAAAUUAAAAACGGCUGAACAGAUUUACACGUGAUGGACAAAACCAAGAUAGCCAAACAAUUGAGAAGCAAACAAAAAUCAAAGCUAUCAAGAAAAUAAGCACAGCAAAUAGAACCUAAAGAAUAGCACUAGAACAGAUUUUAAAGACAAGAAAAGACACAACAAGAAAUCACAAAAUUGGUUGUUGAAAUCAGAAUUUCAAAAGCAAAAAUUGAACUGGUCCAUUAGCUAAUGUUAGCAUUUUCAGUUCUGGACACAUUUGCAUACUGAAAUCCAAUGGAGCAAGUUUAUUUAUGCUUGUUUUGAUCACGCAAGGCCAUUUUACACUCUUUCAUAGGCUUUUACUCAAAUUCAAAUAUUCAGUUCCUCAUUUUUCUUUUCAGGAUUUGCCUCUUUUGACUGAUUUUCUCAACUAAUAUGCUUUUAUUUCAUCUUGGAUCAAAAGAAUGAUUUAACAAGUGUUUAAAUAACUUAGUUCUGCAGUUUAGAAGGAAAAACAAAAAAAAUGGCUUGCAAAGACUCUAGGAUAUUGAUUAAACAAGAAGCUUAGUAAUGAAAUAAUACCAAGCAGAACAGACACACACUAAAAGACAUUCAAAGAAGUACCAGUUCGGUGUAGCUGGCCAAAC
rnacentral:lncRNA from 1 species